AGGGAAUAUUGGGCAAUGGACGAGAGUCUGACCCAGCCAUGCCGCGUGCAGGAAGAAGGCUUUCUGAGUCGUAAACUGCUUUUGACAGGGAAGAAUAAGCGCUACGUGUAGCGUGAUGACGGUACCUGCAGAAUAAGCACCGGCUAACUCCGUGCCAGCAGCCGCGGUAAUACGGAGGGUGCGAGCGUUGUCCGGAUUUAUUGGGUUUAAAGGGUGCGUAGGCGGCCUUUUAAGUCCGGGGUGAAAGCCCGUUGCUCAACAACGGAACUGCCCUGGAUACUGGAAGGCUUGAGUACAGACGAGGUUGGCGGAAUGGACUGAGUAGCGGUGAAAUGCAUAGAUACAGUCCAGAACCCCGAUUGCGAAGGCAGCUGACUAGGCUGUUACUGACGCUGAGGCACGAAAGCGUGGGGAGCGAAC
rnacentral:rRNA from 1 species